rnacentral:rRNA from 1 species
GACGAACGCUGGCGGCGUGCUUAACACAUGCAAGUCGAACGGAAAGGCCCUGCUUUUGUGGGGUGCUCGAGUGGCGAACGGGUGAGUAACACGUGAGUAACCUGCCCUUGACUUUGGGAUAACUUCAGGAAACUGGGGCUAAUACCGGAUAGGAGCUCCUGCUGCAUGGUGGGGGUUGGAAAGUUUCGGCGGUUGGGGAUGGACUCGCGGCUUAUCAGCUUGUUGGUGGGGUAGUGGCUUACCAAGGCUUUGACGGGUAGCCGGCCUGAGAGGGUGACCGGCGACAUUGGGGGGGAUAUAAGGCCGAGACGCCUACGGGAGGCGGCAGUGGGGAAUAUUGCAGAAUGGGCGGAAGCCGGAUGCAGCAACGCCGCGUGGGGGGGGACGGCCUUCGGGGGGUAAACCGCUGUCGCCUGUGACGAAGCGGGAGUGACGGUAAUGGGUAAAGAAGCACCGGCUAACAACUUG